rnacentral:rRNA from 1 species
CGGUAAUUCCAGCUCCAAUAGCGUAUACUAAUGUUGUUGCAGUUAAAAAGCUCGUAGUCGGAUUUCAGCUUUGCUCAUCUUUUCCACUUUGGAUCUGCUGGGGAGGGCUUCUUUGACGGAAGUAUUCCUGACAUUCAUUUGUUGGGUUUUUCAACCGUCUCUUUUACUUUGAGAAAAUUAGAGUGUUCAAAGCAGGCAUUGCCUGAAUAUUACUCUUGGAAUAAUAAUAGAUGACUCUGGUGCUAGUUUGUUGGUGCACUGGUGCCGGAGUAAUGAUUAAUAGCGACGGUUGGGGUCAUUCGUACUGCAAAGCGAGAGGUGAAAUUCUUGGACCUUUGUAUGACGAACAACUGCGAAAGCAUUUGACUAGGACGUUCGCGUUGAUCAAGAACGAAAGUUGGGGGAUCGAAGACGAUCAGAUACCGUCGUAGUCUCAACCAUAAACUAUGCCAGCUAGGGAUGAGCGAUUGUCUUCAACUGACAUCGUUUGCACCUUAUGAGAAAUCAAAGCAUUUGGGUUCCGGGGGGAGUAUGGUCGCAAGGCUGAAACUUAAAGGAAUUGACGGGAGGGCACCACCAGGAGUGGAGCCUGUUGCUUAAUUUGAUUCAACACGGGGAAACUUACCAGGUCCGGACAUAGUAAGGAUUGACAGAUUGAAAGCUCUUUCUUGAUUCUAUGGGUGGUGGUGCAUGGCCGUUCUUAGUUGGUGGAGUGAUUUGUCUGGUUAAUUCCGUUAACGAACGAGACCUCAGCCUACUAAAUAGUCACACUUCACCUGUGAGGUGUGUACUUCUUAGAGGGACUACUUGCAUAUAAACAAGCUGGAAGCUUGAGGCAAUAACAGGUCUGUGAUGCCCUUAGAUGUUCUGGGCUGCUAACGGGCUACACUGGUGCAUUCAACAAGCCUUUUCCCUGGUCCGAAAGGUCUGGGUAAUCUUUGAAAUUGCACCGUGCUUGGGAUAGACUAUUGCAAUUUUUAGUCUUCAACGAGGAAUUCCUAGUAAACGCGAGUCAUCAACUCGCAUUGAUUACGUCCCUGCCCUUUGUACACACCGCCCGUCGCUCCUACCGAUUGGAUGAUUCGGUGAGCUCUUGGGACUGGCUGCUGUGUCUCCCUAACGGGAGCUCGGCAUCGGAAACUUGAUCAAACCUAAUUAUCUAGAGGACGGAGAAGUCGUAACAAGGUAACC